CAGCGCAAAAGCGAAACUUCGGCUUUUCAGCUUGGCGGAAGGCGUGUAUCGCGUUUUUUCUAACCUGUCAUUUGCGCUGUCUCGAUUCAAUCAAACUUCAAGACCUCAUGCAAGUCCGCAAUGGCCACGCUGAGUGCUGUGCAGACUGCAGAAGCGAAUACAUCGGGUAAGUACGCUAUUACAUUAGUACAAACCACGCGCUAUAUACUAGAACACGUGUGAGCUGUAAUAUCUCCGUAUUUUUGGCACGUAACCUGUGAAGGAAUAUACAGCACUAUGUUGGUGCCAUAUAUUAUUAAAGCACGCAGAACAUUGUCCUCUGCACUUUCAG
rnacentral:lncRNA from 1 species